rnacentral:rRNA from 1 species
GACGAAGGGGGCAAGCGUUGUUCGGAAUUACUGGGCGUAAAGGGCGCGUAGGCGGUUCUUUAAGUCAGGCGUGAAAGCCCUGGGCUCAACCUGGGAGUGGCGCUUGAUACUGGAGGACUAGAGAGUGGGAGAGGUUGGUGGAAUUCCCAGUGUAGGGGUGAAAUUCGUAGAUAUUGGGAAGAACACCGGUGGCGAAGGCGGCCAACUGGACCAUUUCUGACGCUGAGGCGCGAAAGCGUGGGGAGCAAACAGG